rnacentral:tRNA from 2 species
ACUCCUGAAGGAUAACAGUCUAUCCGUUGGUCUUAGGAACCAAAAAAUCUCGGUGCAAAUCCGAGCAGUAGUU